ACAGAGGGUGCAAGCGUUAAUCGGAGUUACUGGGCGUAAAAGGGGAGGAGGCUGAUAUUUAAGUUAAUUGUGAAAUCCCUGGGCUUAACCUAGGAAUUGCAGUUAAUACUGAGUAUCUAGGGUAUGGUAGAGGAAAGUGGAAUUCUCGGUGUAGUGGUUAAAUACGUAGAUAUCGAGAAGAACACCGGUGGCGAAGGCGACUUACUGGACCAAUACUGACGCUGAGGCGCGAAAGCGUGGGGAGCAAACAG
rnacentral:rRNA from 1 species